rnacentral:rRNA from 1 species
GACGUAGGAGGCGAGCGUUGUCCGGAUUCAUUGGGCGUAAAGCGCGCGUAGGCGGACCUGCAAGUCGGGGGUGAAAGCCCGAGGCUCAACCUCGGAACUGCCUUCGAUACUGCGGGUCUCGAGUCCGGGAGAGGUGAGUGGAAUUCCUAGUGUAGAGGUGAAAUUCGUAGAUAUUAGGAAGAACACCAGUGGCGAAGGCGGCUCACUGGCCCGGUACUGACGCUGAGGCGCGAAAGCGUGGGGAGCGAACAGG